UAAGGAAUAUUGGUCAAUGGACGCAAGUCUGAACCAGCCAUGCCGCGUGCAGGAAGACGGCCCUAUGGGUUGUAAACUGCUUUUGUACCAGAGAAAACCUAUCUACGUGUAGAUAGCUGAUAGUAUGGUAAGAAUAAGCAUCGGCUAACUUCGUGCCAGCAGCCGCGGUAAGACGAAGGAUGCAAGCGUUAUCCGGAUUCAUUGGGUUUAAAGGGUGCGUAGGCGGGCUUGUAAGUCAGUGGUGAAAUCUCUCAGCUUAACUGAGAAACUGCCAUUGAUACUGCAGGCCUAGAGUAUAGAUGACGUUGGCGGAAUAUGACAUGUAGUGGUGAAAUACUUAGAUAUGUCAUAGAACACCGAUUGCGAAGGCAGCUAACGAAACUAUAACUGACGCUGAGGCACGAAAGUGCGGGGAUCAAACA
rnacentral:rRNA from 1 species